UUUCCGUAGGUGAACCUGCGGAAGGAUCAUUGUCGAAAGCUUGCACAGUGUCGGUGGACAUGUGAACUUGUCGGAACAUUUACACGGGGGUGCACUUGGAGCUACUCUGUCUCUCCCCAUGGUCAAUGGGUAUGUGGCCGAGAGUCCAUGUGUGCCCCCUUAUAACCCUCAAAUCAGCACGACACGUGCCAAGGAAAGCUCAAUAUGAAAUUCAAUCCUAGGGCCCUCGCAUGAUGCAUGCAUGGGUUUGAGGAGGAGACAUGUGAAAUAGUUGGAGAUAAAAUGACUCUCGGCAAUGGAUAUCUCGGCUCUCGUAUCGAUGAAGAACGCAGCAAAAUGUGAUACUUGGUGUGAAUUGCAGAAUCUCGUGAGUCAUUGAGUUUUUGAAUGCAAGUUGCGCCUGAAGCCAUUUUCUUGGUCAAGGGCACACGUGCCUGGGUGUCAUGCAUGGAGUUUUCCUGGGACCUUCUCCUCUACGAGUCCCAUCUCUUGGUUGGUUUUUGUUGGGGGUGCAAGGGGUGAGGGACCUCUCGGGUGUUCGUUGGCCUCCCGUUCCUUAUUGUGCGGUUGGUUAAAAUUUGGGGUCCUUGGUGGCAUGCGUCGUUGAUGAGUUAUCGUAAACAAUGUUUGUCUCGUGUUUGCAGGUGAGCCCCCAUGUCCCAUGGCUUCCUUGACACUAAGAUGGAGUUUCCAUUUCGACCCC
rnacentral:misc_RNA from 1 species